GUGCUCAAGAGGCUCUCAGCCAAAAGUCAAGUUAAGAAAAAUACCACAAAGAGGAAGAAGAUUUGGGAGCAUCUGAAGAGCUGGAGGAGGUAGAGGCUCUGAAGCACGGUGACGUGAUGUCUAAGGAUGUUUCAAGAGAAAAUAAUCCCUUAAUGUCUGUGCUAGAAGUUUGAGAGGUGGGUGGAUAUAUUUAUGUUCCCUUUUGAUCCCUGAGUCCUGAG
rnacentral:lncRNA from 1 species